rnacentral:lncRNA from 1 species
UUUUUUUUUUUUUUUUUUGAGACGGAGUCUUGCUCUGUCGCCCAGGCUGGAGAGCAGAGGCGCGAUCUCGGCUCACUGCAAGCUCUGCCUCCUGGGUUCAUGCCAUUCUUCUGCCUCAGCCUCCCGAGUAGCUGGGACUACAGGCGCCUGCCACCACGCCCAGCUAAUUUUUUGUAUUUUUAGUAGAGACGAGGUUUCACCGUGUUAGCUGGAAUGGUCUCCUGACUUUGUGAUCCGCCUGCCUCUGCCUCCCAAAGUGCUGGGAUUACAGGCGUGAGCCACCGCGCGCAGCCGCCUGGCUCUGUUUUUUCAGGUUAUGUCUCCUAAUGUAUCCCACUACUGCCUCCUCCAGAACUGCUUCCCUCUUCUCACCUGGGAAGGAGCAUCUCUGUGUGUCUGUAUUUUCAGUCCCUGGAACAUCUGGCAGCCAUGGCUCUUCCUCUCUCUCCAGCUAGAAGAUCAGGUCAGGUUUGAGGCCUGAAAAUUCUGCUGGCAGAGAUGGAAACACAACACGUGCAUUUCUGCUGAGAACCAAAGCCUACGGUCUGCAGAGAGCAGGCAGAGAGAUUCAGCUGGACCAGCCCCAGCUGGAAGAAACAAAUCUGGUGUUCCCUGACUCUGCACCACCCAAGUCAGGGUGGUUCAGUCCCCCAGCUUCGACAGAAGAACCACAUCACUCAGGCCCACAAUUCCCCAAACCACAGGAAGAGCAACCAGGUUUUAGGCCCUGGUGAUGGGACAGGUGGCCAUGAGGCCUCCUGUGUAAACCUGGAACUUGGGAAGAGGCCUUGGAGCAACCGGCUACACCCAGAAGCUCCCACCCCAGCUCACGGGUGAAGGGCCAGUGGAACAGGAGAAGCUCCCACCCCAGCUCACGGGGGAAGGGCCAGUGGAACAGGGAUGUGUUCUUCCUACAGAAAGCCUUGUGACUUCCUGCCCUUUCAGUAAAGGCUUUUGUGCAUUCUACUGGAAUGUCAGGUAUCAAACCACUACCGCCACCGCAUAGCCCUUGCCCGCCUGCAGUCGGCCUUCUGGUCCGUCUGACGCAGUCGAACUCUGCAGCGUUCACCUUGCUUCCUAUCUUGUUUUGCUUCCAACUUUCCAUUACAAAAAACUUCCAACAUAGAGAAUAUUAACAACUACUUCCGACCGGGCGCGGUGGCUCACACCUGUAAUCCCAGCACUUUC